GGAUGCGAUCAUACCAGCACUAAAGCAUCGGAUCCCAUCAGAACUCCGAAGUUAAGCGUGCUUGGGCGAGAGUAGUACUAGGAUGGGUGACCUCCUGGGAAGUCCUCGUGUUUCAUUCC
rnacentral:rRNA from 1 species